UACAGAGGUCUCAAGCGUUGUUCGGAUUCAUUGGGCGUAAAGGGUGCGUAGGCGGCGCGGUAAGUCGGGUGUGAAAUCUCGGAGCUUAACUCCGAAACUGCAUUCGAUACUGCCGUGCUUGAGGACUGGAGAGGAGACUGGAAUUUACGGUGUAGCGGUGAAAUGCGUAGAUAUCGUAAGGAAGACCAGUGGCGAAGGCGGGUCUCUGGACAGUUCCUGACGCUGAGGCACGAAGGUCAGGGGAGGAAACGGG
rnacentral:rRNA from 1 species